AGAGUUUGAUCCUGGCUCAGGACGAACGCUGGCGGCGUGCCUAACACAUGCUUGUCGAGCGAGGACGGGUCUUCGGACUCGAGCCGAGCGGCGGACGGGUGAGUAACACGUGAGCAACCUGCCCCUGUGCGGGGGAUAACCCGGGGAAACUCGGGCUAAUACCGCAUGGUCGGCCCUGCCGCAUGGUGGGGCUGGCGAAAGGCGGCCUCUCAUGGAAGCUGCCGUGCAGGGAGGGGCUCGCGGCCUAUCAGCUGGUUGGUGGGGUAACGGCCUACCCAGGCGACGACGGGUAGCGGGUUUGAGAGGACGACCCGCCACAUUGGGACUGAGACACGGCCCAGACUCCCUACGGGAGGCAGCAGUGGGGAAUCUAUGCG
rnacentral:rRNA from 1 species